rnacentral:tRNA from 1 species
AAGGGAGACCUAAUUCCGGUAGGAGACGAAAAAAAAGUAGUCCCAACCAAGAAUCAAUCCCAAAAGGUCGGAACGAGGUAUGAGGCUUUCAAACUAGGUUCUGGGUUCAUAAAAGACCUGAAUCAGGAACAAGGGCUAUUAGCUCAGGUGGUUAGAGCGCACCCCUGAUAAGGGUGAGGUCCCUGGUUCGAGUCCAGGAUGGCCCACCUGCACAGGUGGCAAAAACAAGAGAAGCUCCGAAUCAGCACCUUAUCUUACAUACAUAUAUAAGAGAGAAUGCUGGCUCUGAGUACAGAGUCCGGAGGAACCUUGAAAACUGCAUAGAGCUAGGUGAAAAAGCCAAAAAAGAAGACCGCAA